rnacentral:lncRNA from 1 species
AUGAGGUCUUUUCACAUGCAUUCACAGAUCCAAAGUCCAGAAACUGCUUCAUGGAGAGCGGGAAUAGGGAGAAGCGUGAAUAGAAAUCCAUUGGCCCUGAAUGCUGCGUUCGGAGCCAGCACCAGAAUCUGGGUUUGGGCUGGGACCUGGGACUGGGCCCGGGAUGGCCAACAUGGCCUGUCGCAGGUACUUCAUAAACCUCAUUUCGGACCGCGAUCCAGAAGAAGCAAAGAAACAGCAGCCACUGACCUGGGAGCGCCAUCACGCGAGGUGCUUGCGAGCCGGAACACCAGGAAAGAAAAUGCCUUCUCCAACCACUUAUUCAGCACCUCUGGGGUGAGUGCUUGCCAAGUCUUCAUCCAUCUUUCAUCCAACUCUCAACUUUGGCUACAAGAAUCUGUAGCAUGCACAGCAGUCAUACCCAUAAAUAGAAAUUGUUUAGACAGACAGGCUAUAUCAGAUUGAGGGUGACUGAC